rnacentral:misc_RNA from 1 species
AACUAAGACAUCAAUUCCAUCAUCACUGAGCCCUUUGCCAAAGCAGUGAAGGAGAGGUAAAAUUGUCUGAUGAACAGUAAUUGGAAUACCAAGUUCCUCACUAGACCCAAUCAACAGGACAGAAGCAGCAGCAGCAGAGUUCUUGCAAGGAGUACCGUGUAAGUUUAAUACCACAAAUGGGUGUAUUGUCUCCACAUAUGCUUGUUUACCAAUCUUGUUCCAUAUAUCCAGCACAAAGGAACCUUGGAGAAGA